UUGGGAUCGCAGCCCAAAGUCGGUGGUAAACUUCAUCUAAGACUUAAUAUUGCCACGAGACCGAUAGCAAACAAGUACUGUGAAGGAAAGUUGCAAAGCACUUUGAAGAGAGAGUUAAAGAGGACGUGAAACCGGUAAGGUGGAAACGGAUAGAGUCGGCGUAUCAUUCAAUUAUUCAGUUACAUUAUUUUUAUGUUGUGACCUCUGAGCUCCAGAUUGGGACAGAGGGAAUCAGCAUAAUUUUUUGUGGUGCAUUUACUUGAUUGGUGCUUGGGGAUGUUUGAGGCAGAUUUGUUUCCGUCGUUUUGAGGCCAGCUUGCUGGUACCCAAACGGUGUUAGCAUUUUUUGUCUUGGGCAUUUGAGUAUGGCUCACGUGUAUUUAUUGGACAGAUCUGAGUGUAAGUUACGGUCGCAUGCGACACGUGCUUUUCAAUUAGUUCGGUCCAGUUAAUGCUCUCGUACUCGUUCCCCAUGUAAAAGCCGGUCAUCUAUCCGACCCGUCUUGAAACACGGACCAAGGAGUUUAUCGUGUGCGCAAGUUUUUGGGUGUUAAAAACUUAAAAGCGAAAUGAAAGUAAAUGACUCUUUAGAGUCUGAUGUGCGAUCUUGUAAAAAAGUGYAGCAUGGCCCCAUUCUAACUGUUUACAGUAGGGUGGCGGAAGAGCGUACGCGGUGAGACCCGAAAGAUGGUGAACUAUUCCUGAGCAGGACGAAGCCAGA
rnacentral:rRNA from 1 species